rnacentral:misc_RNA from 1 species
GAUGAAGAACGUAGCAAAAUGCGAUACUUGGUGUGAAUUGCAGAAUCCCGUGAACCAUCGAGUUUUUGAACGCAAGUUGCGCCCGAAGCCUUUUGGCCGAGGGCACGUCUGCCUGGGCGUCACGCAUCGCGUCGCCCCCCACAAUUCUCCGUAAAGGGAACAUGUGUUUUGGGGGCGGAUAUUGGUCUCCCGUGCUCAUGGCGUGGUUGGCCGAAAUAGGAGUCCUUUCGAUGGACGCACGAACUAGUGGUGGUCGUAAAAACCCUCGUCUUUUGUUUCGUGCUGUUGGUCGCAAGGUAAACUCUUUAAAAACCCCAAUGUGUCGUCUCUUGACGACGCUUCGACCGCGACCCCAGGUCAGGCGGGGCUACCCGCUGAGUUUAAGCAUAUCAAUAAGCGGAGGA